rnacentral:rRNA from 1 species
AUUGUUGCGGUUAAAACGCUCGUUAGUUGAGAUUUUGUUGGGAGUCACGGGUCCGUCCGAGUGACGCUGCACGCGUGCUCCUGACUGGGGAUGGUUUCGUUCGCGGGAUCUGAUCCAACAUUACUUUGAGAAAACGAGAGUGUUCCAAGCGGGUUAUUGUCAGAAUACAUUAGCAUGGAAUAAUAGCAUAGGACCUCAUUCGCUAUUGGUAUAGGGAGUGAGGGAACGCAAAUAGGGAUAGUUGGGGGCAUUCGUAUUUAACUGUCAGAGGUGAAAUUCUUGGAUUUUUUAAAGACGAACUAGUGCGAAAGCAUCUGCCCAGGAUGUUUUUGUUAAUCAAGAACGAAAGUUAGGGGAUCGAAGACGAUCAGAUACCGUCCUAGUCUUAACCAUAAACCAUGCCGACUAGAGAUUGGGGCGCCUUUUUGUCCCCAGCAGCUUGAGAGAAAUCAAAGUCUUCGGGUUCCGGGGGGAGUAUGGUCGCAAGGCUGAAACU